AGAAAAGCGUUGAAGAGGAAAUUGAUCGUUUGAAAGAAGCGUAGAGAGCUGCGGGAUGGUGAAACGCAGUGUUUGGAAAACGGUCAUCUCGCCUUGGAGCCGAUGAAGUGAAACCAGUAAUUUCAUACGGAUUCCCACCGUUAAAAGGGAAGCAGUUGCCGGACUGUGAAGAGGUCAUGAAAAUGACAAUGAGAGUGGUACCGCGGGAAAUAGAACUCGUCUCUCAA
rnacentral:ncRNA from 1 species